AUACAGCAACUGCCGAAGACAGCAGGCGCUGUAAAGCGUAAGGGUAUUUCCCGCCUGCCGAGGAAAGUUAGAUUUAUUACGCAAGUAUGAAUUUACAAACCUCUGUGUCUUUAUGGCAUGGAGAUUUUUUAU
rnacentral:sRNA from 1 species